rnacentral:rRNA from 1 species
ACGCUGGCGGCGUGCCUAAUACAUGCAAGUCGAACGGAGAUUAAAUAGCUUGCUAUUUAAUCUUAGUGGCGCACGGGUGAGUAAUAUAUAGCUAACUUGCCCAUUACUAAGGGACAACAGUUGGAAACGACUGCUAAUACCUUAUACUCCGUAUCUAUAUAAGUAGAUACGGGAAAGUUUUUCGGUAAUGGAUAGGGCUAUAUCGUAUCAGCUAGUUGGUAAGGUAACGGCUUACCAAGGCUAUGACGCGUAACUGGUCUGAGAGGAUGAUCAGUCACACUGGAACUGAGACACGGUCCAGACUCCUACGGGAGGCAGCAGUAGGGAAUAUUGCUCAAUGGGGGAAACCCUGAAGCAGCAACGCCGCGUGGAGGAUGACACUUUUCGGAGCGUAAACUCCUUUUCUUGGGAAAGAAUUAUGACGGUACCCAAGGAAUAAGCACCGGCUAACUCCGUGCCAGCAGCCGCGGUAAUACGGAGGGUGCAAGCGUUACUCGGAAUCACUGGGCGUAAAGGACGCGUAGGCGGAUUAUCAAGUCUCUUGUGAAAUCUAACGGCUUAACCGUUAAACUGCUUGGGAAACUGAUAGUCUAGAGUAAGGGAGAGGCAGAUGGAAUUCUUGGUGUAGGGGUAAAAUCCGUAGAGAUCAAGAAGAAUACCCAUUGCGAAAGCGAUCUGCUGGAACUUAACUGACGCUAAUGCGUGAAAGCGUGGGGAGCAAACAGGAUUAGAUACCCUGGUAGUCCACGCCCUAAACGAUGUAUACUAGUUGUUGCUUCGCUAGUCGAGGCAGUAAUGCACCUAACGGAUUAAGUAUACCGCCUGGGGAGUACGGUCGCAAGAUUAAAACUCAAAGGAAUAGACGGGGACCCGCACAAGCGGUGGAGCAUGUGGUUUAAUUCGAAGAUACGCGAAGAACCUUAC